rnacentral:rRNA from 1 species
UAGGGAAUCUUCGGCAAUGGGGGCAACCCUGACCGAGCAACGCCGCGUGAGUGAAGAAGGUUUUCGGAUCGUAAAGCUCUGUUGUAAGUCAAGAACGGGUGUGAGAGUGGAAAGUUCACACUGUGACGGUAGCUUACCAGAAAGGGACGGCUAACUACGUGCCAGCAGCCGCGGUAAUACGUAGGUCCCGAGCGUUGUCCGGAUUUAUUGGGCGUAAAGCGAGCGCAGGCGGUUUGAUA